rnacentral:rRNA from 1 species
AUUGAACGCUGGCGGCACGCUUAACACAUGCAAGUCGAACGGCAGCAUAACAAGAGCUUGCUCUUGUUGAUGGCGAGUGGCGGACGGGUGAGUAACGCGUAGGAAUAUGCCUUGAAGAGGGGGAUAACUUGGGGAAACCCAAGCUAAUACCGCAUAUGCUCUGAGGAGCGAAGCUGGGGACCUUCGGGCCUGGCGCUUUAAGAAUAGCCUGCGUCUGAUUAGCUUGUUGGUGGGGUAAAGGCCUACCAAGGCGAUGAUCGGUAGCUGGUCUGAGAGGAUGGACAGCCACACUGGGACUGAGACACGGCCCAG